rnacentral:rRNA from 1 species
AUACGGAGGGCGCGAGCGUUAAUCGGAAUUACUGGGCGUAAAGCGCGCGUAGGCGGUUUGGUCAGUCGGAUGUGAAAGCCCUAGGCUCAACCUGGGAAUGGCAUUCGAUACUGCCUGACUAGAGUAUGGUAGAGGGAAGUGGAAUUUCCGGUGUAGCGGUGAAAUGCGUAGAUAUCGGAAGGAACACCAGUGGCGAAGGCGACUUUCUGGGCCAAUACUGACGCUAAGGUGCGAAAGCGUGGGGAGCAAACAGGAUUAGAAACCCCAGUAGUCC